AUGGACAAGGAUCUGCAUCUCACACUCAUCAUUGCCGCUGAUUUGCUCAGAGGAAGGCAAGCAGCUCUUGCUGGGGGGUACAGCGGCCUCUGCUCCAUUUGCUUAAAAGGGGGAGGUGCAAGGAAUGAGGCUCUAAUUAGGUGUCUUAAAAAAUUAACACAUGAGGCGCCGAUGGUCGUUGUGGGAGUCGGUCUCGGUCCGGCACCCCAGAACUCCAACUGGCAGACAGGCAUGUGUGACUGCUUCAGCGACUGUGGAGUCUGCCUCUGUGGCACGUUUUGUUUCCCGUGCCUUGGGUGUCAAGUUGCAGCUGAUAUGAAUGAAUGCUGUGUGGAGCAAGCGUCGCAAUGAGGACUCUCUACAGGACGUGAUAUGGCAUCCCUGGAUCUAUUUGUGAUGAUUAUAUGGCAACCCUUUGCGGUCCUCCUUGUACUCUUUGCCAAAUCAAGAGAGAUAUCAACAGAAGGAGAGUCAUGCGUACUUUCUAAAAACUGAUGGUGAAAAGCUCCUACCGAAGCAACAAAAUUCAGCAGACACCUCUUCAGCUUGAGUUCUUCACCAUCUUUUGCAACUGAAAUAUGAUGGAUAUGUUUAAGUACAACUGAUGGCAUGAAAAAAAUCAAAUGUUUGAUUUAUUAUAAAUGAACGUUGUCCCUGAGCUUAGCUAAAUGGUGCGACUUAGUUUCUCCCUGCUUUCAUAUUAUCGAAUUUCCUGUCUUAUAGACUUUUUAAAUUACAUUUGAAAUAUAAACCAAAUAAAAGAUUUUACUGAUAAGAAAAAAAAGUUAACACAUGGCAGAACAACUCAGCAACUUCUAGAAUGAGAAAUUUAGAAAGGUUUGAUGCAACUCACUCAAGUGAGUUGUUUCGAGUUUGGUGAGGCGAAGGUGGCUGCCUACCUGCCGCUUUUUGCAGCUGCCUUAUCACAACACUGAUCCCGUUGCGUUGAUGGAAGCACUGUGACCCUGGCUGACAGCACCACAACUGCCAGGACAGACACCACAGGGGGCGUGGCCACAGCAACCUGGGCCAUCUGGUACGUCAGCGCUGACGUCAGUCUUGGGCCUUGCAGGU